rnacentral:misc_RNA from 1 species
AACGCAUAUUGCACUCUCUGGUCCUCCAGAGAGUAUGCCUGUUUGAGUAUCAUCAAACCCCUCACCCCCUCAAAGGGCGCAUGCUCUGCGAGACGGGUGGAGCUGAGCGUCUGGCAGUCAGAGUCCUGAGUGCCGGUCGGUUGAAAUGGAGUGCGGCUGUGCUUGGCAGCGCCUGUGCUUGCGUAUUAGUUCUCGUCAGAGAUUCCUUACGCAGCGUGUGCAGGCCGCCUGCAGCGGCAUCAACCCAACAAGAGCGCGCUGGCAGUCGACAGAGCGUCUCAACCAUUGAUCUCAAAUCAGGCAAGGCUACCCGCUGAAUUUAA